rnacentral:rRNA from 1 species
AUAUCAAUAAGCGGAGGAAAAGAAACCAACAGGGAUUGCCUCAGUAACGGCGAGUGAAGCGGCAACAGCUCAAAUUUGAAAUCUGGCUCUUUCAGGGUCCGAGUUGUAAUUUGUAGAAGAUGCUUCGGGUGUGGCUCCAGCCUAAGUUCCUUGGAACAGGACGUCAUAGAGGGUGAGAAUCCCGUAUGCGGCUGGUGGCUUUCGCCCAUGUGAAGCUCUUUCGACGAGUCGAGUUGUUUGGGAAUGCAGCUCAAAAUGGGUGGUAAAUUUCAUCUAAAGCUAAAUAUUGGCCAGAGACCGAUAGCGCACAAGUAGAGUGAUCGAAAGAUGAAAAGCACUUUGGAAAGAGAGUUAAACAGUACGUGAAAUUGUUGAAAGGGAAGCGUUUGCAACCAGACUUGCGCGCAGCUGAUCAUCCAGGGUUCUCCCUGGUGCACUCGGUUGCGCUCAGGCCAGCAUCAGUUCAGGUGGUUGGAUAAAGGCCUUGGGAAUGUAGCUUCUUUCGGGGAGUGUUAUAGCCCUCGGUGCAAUGCAGCCUACCUGGACUGAGGACCGCGCUUCGGCUAGGAUGCUGGCGUAAUGGUUGUAAACGA